AGUGAACGCUGGCGGUAGGCCUAACACAUGCAAGUCGAACGGCAGCACAGGAGAGCUUGCUCUCUGGGAGGCGAGUGGCGGACGGGUGAGGAAUACACCGGAAUCUACUUUUUCGUGGGGGAUAACGUAGGGAAACUUACGCUAAUACCGCAUACGACCUACGGGUUAAAGCAGGGGAUCUUCGGACCUUGCGCGAUCGAAUGAGCAGAUGUCGGAUUAGCUAGUUGGCGGGGUAAAGGACCACCAAGGCGACGAUCCGUUGCUCGUCUGAGAGGAUGAUCAGCCACACUGGGACUGGGACACGGUCCAGACUCCUACGGGAGGCAGCAGUGGGGAAUAUUGGACAAUGGGCGCAAGCCUGAUCCAGCCAUACCGCGUGGGUGAAGAAGGCCUUCGGGUUGUAAAGCCCUUUUGUUGGGAAAGAAAUCCAGCUGGUUAAUACCCGGUUGGGAUGACGGUACCCAAAGAAUAAGCACCGGCUAACUUCGUGCCAGCCGCCGCGGUAA
rnacentral:rRNA from 1 species